AUGAUUUUUAAUGUUGACGAAACAGGUGUAACAACAGUACAGACACCAAAGCAGGUAGUGGCAGAAAAAGGAAAAAAACAAGUGGGCUCCAUCACAUCUGCUGAAAGAGUCGAACUGGUGACUGUAGUCUGUGCUGUCAAUGCGACUGGUAACGCAGUCCCUCCGAUGUUUAUCUUCCCAAGGGUUAGAUACAAAGACCACUUCAUUGCAGGAGCACCUCCGGGAUCAAUUGGUACCACUACAAGAUCAGGCUGGAUCAGUGAAGAUGUCUUUGUUGUGUUCCUUGAACAUCUGGUUCAGCAGACCAAGUGCUCCCCUGACCUGCCACUGCUGCUAAUCAUGGAUAACCAUGAAGCCCACAUUUCACUGAAGGCUUUGGACAUAGCAAAAACAAGUGGUAUUGUAAUGCUCACAAUUCCACCCCACACUUCCCAUCGCCUUCAGCCUCUGGAUAAGUGUGUGUAUGGUCCAUUUAAAACCUAUUACAACAGAGCUCUUGAUGGCUGGAUGAGGUCCAACCCAGGCAAAACUGCCAGCAUAUACCAAAUUGCUGGUUGUGUGAAUGAUGCUUUCAUGUCAGCAAUGACACCACGAAAUAUCUCCUCGGGAUUUAGAGCCACUGGGAUUUUCCCUUACAACAGAGAUAUCUUCUCUGAUGCAGAGUUUGAGCCAUCCAUGGUGUCAGACAGGCCCAACCUGGAGCAGCAGCCUGCCGCUGAAGGUGUUGCACCUGUGGUUUCAGCCUCUCUUUCUGCUGAGCUACCUUCACCAGACCCUGUACAUGCAUGUGGUUCACGAAGUGACCCCAACCAUGCUCGAUAUGUGUCUCCCACUGAUAUUCUACCCUUACCCAAAAGUCAGCAGCCCAGGAAACAAACAAAUCGAAAGCGUGUGAAGACACGAAUCCUGACUGAUACACCUGAAAAGCAGGCAAUUGAGAGACACCAUGAAGAAAGGACAAAUAAACUGAAAGGCAAAAAAGAAAUAAUCCACAAAAAGCAAGGAAUGUGGAAGAGGAAACAAACCCAGACAAAAAUUGCAGUGGAAAGCAGCUCUGAGGAGAGUGAUGUUCCCAUCCCAUUUGAAGACACUUCUGAGUAUGAGAGUUCCAGCGAUGAAAGAAGUGAACCAGAUGUCUCAGACCUGGUAGUUGGUGACUUUGUCAUCGUAAGAUUUGCAUCCAAAUCCAGGAGCCACCAUUACAUUGGCCUGGUUGACAGCUUUGCAGACAACGAAGUGAGUGCCAGAUUUCUCAGAAGAAUCCGAGGGAUCACUAGCAGUAAGAAACCCACGUUUGUGUUCAAGGAAAAUGAUGAGGCAUCUUUCCCACGCAAGGAUGUGCUGAAGAAGCUACCUCAACCUCAACAGGCUGGAGGAACUGCAAGGAGGGAGCAACAGUUCAUAUUCCCCUGCAACCUUGAUCAUUGGAAUAUUGAAUAG
rnacentral:lncRNA from 1 species